rnacentral:rRNA from 1 species
UACGUAGGUGGCAAGCGUUGUCCGGAUUUACUGGGCGUAAAGGGCUUGUAGGCGGUUCGUUAAGUCUGGUGUGAAAUCUCCCGGCUCAACUGGGAGGGGUCAUCGGAUACUGGCGGACUUGAGGUAGGUAGAGGAAAGCAGAAUUCCUGGUGUAGCGGUUAAAUGCGUAGAGAUCAGGAGGAAUACCAGGGGCAAAGGCGGCUUUCUGGGCCUAUCCUGACGCUGAGGAGCGAGAGCGUGGGGAGCAAACCGG